CCUACGGGAGGCAGCAGUGAGGAAUAUUGGUCAAUGGACGAGAGUCUGAACCAGCCAAGUAGCGUGAAGGAUGACUGCCCUAUGGGUUGUAAACUUCUUUUAUAUGGGAAUAAAACAGGGUAUGCAUACCCUCUUGUAUGUACCAUAUGAAUAAGGAUCGGCUAACUCCGUGCCAGCAGCCGCGGUAAUACGGAGGAUCCGAGCGUUAUCCGGAUUUAUUGGGUUUAAAGGGAGCGUAGGUGGAUUGUUAAGUCAGUUGUGAAAGUUUGCGGCUCAACCGUAAAAUUGCAGUUGAAACUGGCAGUCGUGAGUACAGUAGAGGUGGGCGGAAUUCGUGGUGUAGCGGUGAAAUGCUUAGAUAUCACGAAGAACUCCGAUUGCGAAGGCAGCUCACUGGACUGCAACUGACACUGAUGCUCGAAAGUGUGGGUAUCAAACAGGAGUAGAUACCCCAGUAGUC
rnacentral:rRNA from 1 species